GACGAACGCUGGCGGCGUGCUUAACACAUGCAAGUCGAACGCUGAAGCUUUGCGCUUGUAGUGGGUGCGAGUGUCGCGCAGGUGUGUGAAAUACGUGUGUACCCCGCCCUACUCUCUGAGAACUGCCUGAGACACUGGGUCUAACACUGUAUACGACCUGUCUCCACGGGGUGGCGUGUGGAAUGGGUUUUGCUGGUUUUGGAUGCGCGCACGGCCUAUCAGCUUGUUGGUGGGGUAGUGGCUCACCAAGGCGACGACGGGUAGCCGGCCUGAGAGGGUGACCGGCCACACUGGGACUGAGACACGGCCCAGACUCCUACGGGAGGCAGCAGUGGGGAAUAUUGCACAAUGGGCGAAAGCCUGAUGCAGCGACGCCGCGUGAGGGAUGACGGCCUUCGGGUUGUAAACCGCUUUCAGCACGGAAGAAGCGAGAGUGACGGUAAGGGCUAAAGAAGCGCCGGCUAACUACGUG
rnacentral:rRNA from 1 species